AAUUUCUAAAUUAGAACUAAUUGUUUAUGAAUUUUAUUUAGAGUAAAAAAAAAUAUUAUUAUUGGAGAUUAGGAAUUAAUAAAUUGUGAGUGGAUUAUUAAGUGGGAAUUAGUAAUUAAAUAAAUAAAUUAAUUUAAUUAUAAUAGGUGGGCCCCACCCGAAAAAAAAUUAAAAAAAAAUAAAUAACACUUCAUGAAAUUAAUUGGGAUUGUUGGAAAAAUUAUUAUGUGGGCACGGCCCACAUGUGUUAUAGACAAGUGUUUUAAUAAAAUGCAUGCACAUAAGUGAGUAGUGGCAUGAUUAUUGCAUAAAUGGGUGAAGAGUAAUAAAGGGGCAAUCUAGGAGGCUUACACGUGUAAGGGUGAUCAGAUUCCAUGAAAUUUUAGUUCAUAUCUAGCAUUAUUGCAUAAUGGAAGAGGUGCUGCACGUUGUCCUUUCUAGUUUUAAAAUCAUUAGCAUCCUUAACUUGAAAAAGAACGUUCCAGCCUAUUCAUUCAAAUUGCAGCAUAGUUCUUUCACUUUGAAGAUUAGUUCACGACAUUUGGAGUUCUCUUGGAGCAAAAUAAAAGUAUCCAGCAACUUUUCUUUGGAUGGAGCCCAUCCUAAAAAGGCAAAACGUUCCAACAACCAUUUUGUUGUCUUGGGGAAUAAACCUUUCGGAGGAAGAAAACUUGGCAGCAGCCCACAUCCCAUGUCAUUAAGAUUAAGAGUGUAAUUGAAAUGGUAAAGUCCCGUGGUGCAAUUGGUGCAAGAAAUUGUACAAUCUGUCCUAAUUAAAUUAAGGUUGUGACACUUUGGACAGCGUAUACGUAUUGCGUUACGGAUAAGCGCUAAAGGUACAGAUGCUCACUUUGGUAACCCGCCAGCUUAGGAGUCCUAUUCAGCUAUCUUGGAGAGCUCCCUUGUUCCGGAGCCUAGAUUUUGGUACAGAAUCUCUUGUGGUGUAUGUGUAUUUUAUCCAGGGGUACGGCGGGGCCCUGUCCCGUCAUAUGAUACUGUUGUUACUCCUAGAGGUCUGUAGACAUACGUGUGGGUUGUGUAUCGAUGUUGUUCGGUUGUGUCUAUAUGGCUUAUGUUUUGGGACGUUCCCAUUCGUAGUGGCAGCCUUGUCGGCUUGCGUAGAUAUAUAUAUAUAUACAU